rnacentral:rRNA from 1 species
UACGAAGGGGCUAGCGUUGUUCGGAAUCACUGGGCGUAAAGGGCGCGUAGGCGGCUUUGUAAGUCGGGGGUGAAAGCCUGUGGCUCAACCACAGAAUUGCCUUCGAAUACUGUAGAGCUUGAGACCGGAAGAGGUUAGUGGAACUGCGAGUGUAGAGGUGAAAUUCGUAGAUAUUCGCAAGAACACCAGUGGCGAAGGCGGCUGACUGGUCCGGUACUGACGCUGAGGUGGCGAAAGCG